AGUGAACGCUGGCGGUAGGCCUAACACAUGCAAGUCGAACGGCAGCACAGUAAGAGCUUGCUCUUACGGGUGGCGAGUGGCGGACGGGUGAGGAAUACAUCGGAAUCUACUUUUUCGUGGGGGAUAACGUAGGGAAACUUACGCUAAUACCGCAUACGACCUACGGGUGAAAGCAGGGGAUCUUCGGACCUUGCGCGAUUGAAUGAGCCGAUGUCGGAUUAGCUAGUUGGCGGGGUAAAGGCCCAGCAAGGCGACGAUCCGUAGCUGGUCUGAGAGGAUGAUCGGCCACACUGGAACUGGGACACCGUCCAGACUCCUACGGUAGGCAGCAGUGGGGAAUAUUGGACAAUGGGCGCAAGCCUGAUCCAGCCAUACCGCGUGGGUGAAGAAGGCCUUCGGGUUGUAAAGCCCUUUUGUUGGGAAAGAAAAGCAGCAGGUUAAUACCCCGCUGUUCUGACGGUACCCAAAGAAUAAGCACCGGCUAACUUCGUG
rnacentral:rRNA from 1 species